AUUGAACGCUGGCGGCAGGCCUAACCCAUGCACGUCGAGCGAGCGGCGGGCGGGUGAGUUAUGUAUCGGUAUCUGUCUGCUGUCGGGGGAUCACUACUGGAAACGGGAGCUAAUACCGCAUACCUACAUCUAAACCCAUAUGGGAUUAGAUAGUAGGUGAGGUAACUGCUUACCUACGCGACGCUCCCUAGCGGGUCUGAGAGGAUGAUCAGCCACACUGGGACUGAGACACGGCCCAGACUCCUACGGGAGGCAGCAGUGGGGAAUAUUGCACAAUGGGCGCAAGACUGAUGCAGCCAUGCCGCGUGUAUGAAGAAGGCCUUCGGGUUGUAAAGUACUUUCAGUCGGGAGGCGUUACCAACAGAAGAAGCACCGGCUAACUCCGUGCCAGCAGCCGCGGUAAUUC
rnacentral:rRNA from 1 species